CUGGGAUCUACAUGAUGAAAGCACAGCACUGGAAUUGGUAAAUAUAUGGAUUGAUCUUGAGUGCUGGGUAUUUUUCUCUCACCACAUUAGCUGCCAGUUUUCCAGGCUAUCCCCUCGGGACUGAGAUGAGGUGAGAGGUCAGACAACCUUAUGGAAAGGCCUUCAUGGUGAGGAACUGAGGCCUGACAAGAACCACAGGAAUGAUCUUGG